rfam:Capsicum annuum cultivar Zunla-1 chromosome 10, whole genome shotgun sequence
UUUCCCUUCGGGAACUUCUGAUAAAAUUGGAACAAUAUAGAGAAGAUUAGCAUGGCCUACGCAAAGAUGGCGCCCACAAAUCAAGGAAUGGUCCAAAUUUUC